AUGUGGUUUACAGAUGAGCAAGCUCCAAGCUUUCCUGAGCAGUCAUCCUGUUUCCGAAUAACCUUAAAAACGACUUGCUCCUUGGGAUGUGCUUUUCCGUUUCCUAGCAGCAUACAGAAGCAGCAGCCUGGAUUAAUUUGGAAGUCUCUGCCGUCAAGCUUCCGUUCUUGCCAUUCCAACAGCAUCACUUUCAAAUCGUCGGACAGAAAGGUGCUCGCCGUUACCCAUUUUAUUCAGAUCAAGCACCGAAGCUGACCUCCCGGAUUAAAGAAUCGCAAUCCCAGAUGUGAAGGUUGGACGGUGUGGACGGUGACUUGUGGCUCCUUGACUCCAAACACCAGGUGCAGCACUUCCUCACAGGAGGCACACGACUGUCAAAUAAGCGAUGGAAUGAACGAGCCUCUGCAGAAUUCGCCACGCACUUCCCACGGGUUCCAGGAACUGUGUUUGCCAUCUUAGUCUAUGACAAAGUGCGAGCCACCAUCACGUCUUCCCCCGCUGUACUCGGUCCCCUGACACCCAGUCUCGCCAAGGAACUUCCAAUGGACCUUUUCAAAAUUAAACUUUCCUUACUUGUAAGGGGGAGAAAUAAUGAUCCUACCUCUAAGGUUUGAUGCAAAUCAAACAUGACCCAGCGCAUCA
rnacentral:lncRNA from 1 species